rnacentral:misc_RNA from 1 species
GCCGACGGAGCCGAACUGCUGGCGAGCCGGGUUGGCUUGCCA